rnacentral:tRNA from 1 species
GUUUCUGUAGUGUAGUGGUUAUUAAGUUCGCUUUACACGCGAAAGGUCCCUGGUUCGAAACCGGGCAGAAGCA